rnacentral:rRNA from 1 species
UACGUAGGCAGCAAGCGUUGUUCGGAAUUACUGGGCGUAAAGCGUGCGCAGGCGGUUUUGUAAGUCUGUCGUGAAAUCCCCGGGCUCAACUUGGGAACUGCAUUUGUGACUGCAUCGCUGGAGUGCGGCAGGGGGGGAUGGAAUUCCGCGUGUAGCAGUGAAAUGCGUAGAUAUGCGGAGGAACACCAAUUGCGAAGGCAGCUUGCUGGGACGGUACUGACGCUGAGGCGCGAAAGCGUGGGGAGCAAACAGG